rnacentral:rRNA from 1 species
CAAUGAAUUUUAAAUAGCCGCAGAAAUUUACUGUGCUAAGGUAGCAUAAUCAUUAGCCCCCUAAUUAGGGGCAAGUAUGAAAGAUUUAACAUUUUAAUUUCUUUUUUUAAUAAAAGUUUUAACUUAUCCUAAGUAUAAAAAUAUGCUUAUAAAUAAAUAAGACGACAAGACCCUGUUGAACUUAACUAAUGUUUUGCUGGGGCAGCAAUUUAAUAAUCACCUUAUCUUAUAUAUUUAAUAAUAAGACCCAAACCAUUGAUUUAAAGAGCAAGUUACCACAGGGAUAACAGCGUAAUAUUUCUUUGAAGCUCAUAUUUAAAGAAAAGUUUGCGACCUCGAUGUUGAAUUAUUUUUCUUUUAAACGCAAUAGUCUAAAAAGUAAGUCUGUUCGACUUUUAAAAA